CCAAUGAUUGUUGUGAUGUUUGGGCGUUUUGCCUAUGGCAGGAGAUAAGGUUGGUGUUAUAUGUUCCUUGGAUAUUUUGGCGGUGGUAGGAUGAUAUGUUGGGGGCAUAUGUGUUUUAACUUAAGAUUAUAUAGUUUAUGGGCCGCAAUAUGCUGAGAAGCCCAACAAGUAUGUUUUAAAAUUAAUUAAUUAAUUUCCUUCUGAAUUUUUAAUUUAUAAAAAAU
rnacentral:lncRNA from 1 species